UACGGAGGGGGCUAGCGUUGUUCGGAAUUACUGGGCGUAAAGCGCACGUAGGCGGAUUUGUAAGUCAGGGGUGAAAUCCCGGGGCUCAACCUCGGAACUGCCUUUGAUACUGCGAAUCUCGAGUCCGGAAGAGGUGAGUGGAAUUCCUAGUGUAGAGGUGAAAUUCGUAGAUAUUAGGAAGAACACCAGUGGCGAAGGCGGCUCACUGGCCCGGUACUGACGCUGAGGCGCGAAAAGCGUGGGGAGCAAACAGG
rnacentral:rRNA from 1 species